ACCAGACUCCUACGGGAGGCAGCAGUGGGGAAUAUUGCACAAUGGGGGAAACCCUGAUGCAGCGACGCCGCGUGAGUGAGGAAGUAUUUCGGUAUGUAAAGCUCUAUCAGCAGGGAAGAAAAUGACGGUACCUGACUAAGAAGCCCCGGCUAACUACGUGCCAGCAGCCGCGGUAAUACGUAGGGGGCAAGCGUUAUCCGGAUUUACUGGGUGUAAAGGGAGCGUAGACGGCAGUGCAAGUCCGGAGUGAAAGCCCGGGGCUCAACCCUGGGACUGCUCUGGAAACUGUAAAGCUGGAGUGCGGGAGGGGCAGGCGGAAUUCCUGGUGUAGCGGUGAAAUGCGUAGAUAUCAGGAGGAACACCGGCGGCGAAGGCGGCCUGCUGGACCGCAACUGACGUUGAGGCUCGAAAGCGUGGGGAGCAAACAGGAUUAGAUACCCGUGUAC
rnacentral:rRNA from 1 species